rnacentral:rRNA from 1 species
UACAUGGGGUGCAAACGUUGCUCGGAAUCAUUGGGCGUAAAGCGCGCGUAGGCGGUUACUUAAGUCGAAUGUGAAAGCCCUCGGCUUAACUGAGGAAGUGCAUCCGAAACUGAGUAGCUAGAGUACGAAAGAGGGUCGCGGAAUUCCCGGUGUAGAGGUGAAAUUCGUAGAUAUCGGGAGGAACACCGGUGGCGAAGGCGGUUCUCUGGGCAUUACCUGACGCUGAGGAGCGAAAGUGUGGGGAGCGAACAGG